rnacentral:rRNA from 2 species
UUUCCCUCAGGAUAGCUGGCACUCGCUAGAGCGAGUCUCAUCUGGUAAAGCGAAUGAUUAGAGGCCUUGGGGCCGAAACGACCUCAACCUAUUCUCAAACUUUAAAUGGGUGAGAUCUCUGGCUUGCUUGAAACUUGAAGCCACGAGAUAACUUUGUAUCAUGGAUCAGAGUGCCAAGUGGGCCAAUUUUGGUAAGCAGAACUGGCGCUGUGGGA